rnacentral:lncRNA from 1 species
UUUUUUUUUUUGUUUUGUUUGUUUGUCCUUUUGCCCUUUCUAGGGCCGCUCCCGUGGCAUAUGGAGCGGCCCAAGAAAUAGCAAAAAAAAAAGACAAAAAAAAAAAAUCCUCCACCUUUUAUGAUUCAAAAUUACCCUUGGAACCUGCCUAGGACUGACAAGUCUAAAUCUGCAACCCCUUGAUUUUUCUUCACUUGGGUACUUGUUGUCAUAACUUGUUUCCCCUUGCAAACUCUCAGGCGAACUGUGAACCUCUUUUUCUUGCACAUGUAAGAUAGUUUAAGUCAAAUACAAUGGUUCGUAGAACGGCAAAAUUGGUCAUCUAAAGCAAAGGAUCCUACCAGGUAACCAAAUUUCAGUGGGCAAACUGAUGCGAAUAAUGCCAGAGCCGAAGUAAGUCAGAGAGAGAAAGAAAAAUACCAUAUGAUAUCACUUACACGUGGAAUCUAAAAUAUGGCACCAAUGAACCUAUCUACAGAACAGAAACAGACUCACCGACACAGAGAACAGACUUACGGAUGCCAAGGAUGGGGGGUGGGGGUGGGGUGGGGGGGGGAGAAGUGGGUUGGACUGGGAGUUUGGGCUUGGUAGAUGCAAUGUAUUACAUUUAGUAAGGAUAAGCAAUGAGGUCCUACUGUACAGCACAGGGAACUAUGUCCAGUCUCUUGGGAUAGAACAUGAUAGAAGAUAAUAUGAGAAAGAGAAUGUAUAUAUAUCUAUAUGCCUGGGUCAUUAUGCUGUACAGCAGAAAUUGACUCAACACUGUAAAUCAAUGAUACCCUAAUAAAAGUAAAUUAAAAAAAUAAAAAGGCAACAACAACAACGACAAUAAAAGCCAGAGAUGUGAGGAGCAAACUAACAAGAAAUACACUAAGAUGGUGAGUAGGAGAGACAUAAAAGUGUUUCAUGUUCCGCAACCAGGAGCUAAGAAGAAGAACUUGAGAAAUUUACCCACAAUGUCAUGCAAACAGCUGUGAGAGAGGAAGACCUUUGAGGGGGAAAAAUGUCCAAGAUGGCAGGAGUGUUGCAUAGAAGAGAAAUUUUGGCCUGAGCUCUUAGGAUGGAUACUGGUGCCUGGAGAAUUUUCUAGAAAAGAUUUGGGUAACUUAAGGAACAGGGAAGGAGGUGUCAGAAACGUCGGCUGGCUUUGGAAAUAGAUCUAAGCAGACAUAUUAGAUUCCUCUUUAAUCCUGAGUAGAGAGAGAUGGUGAUUUACUCAAGAGAGCCACCAUGUCUAACUUGAUGUCAUUUACCCUCUGCAGGAUCCCAUCAUCAAAUACAGUUUCAUAUUUUUUCCUUAGAAAUAGGCUUCUUUCUCCCAGUUCAACUUGUACCAUCCUGGCCUGGAACCACUAUCAUCUCAUGUUUAGGUCCCGUAACAGCUUUCUAACUGGCCUCCAGAAUCUUCAGAACCCAAUCUCCUAGACAGAUGAACUUUCUUUAAACACAGCUUUUAUCAUGCCAUUUGUCUGCUCCCAUGCUUUCCAUGGCUCUGGAGUCCUGAUUCCUCUGCUUGGCCUUCAGGGCUGUUUAGGAUCUGGUCAGCUCUCUCUCUCCCUGGUCCCUCACCUCCAUUUCCUGCUCAAUCACUCAGUGCUGUCCCAGCACCAAAAGUGUUUCUGGAAUCCCAGCAUUCUCUCAAUACCACCUCCUUCACCUGGAUGCCCAUCCACCUCUCUUUAAAAAUCCUAUCCAUCCUUCUCGACCCAUUUCCUUCAUAAAAUCUCCUCUAGGAGUUCCUGAUGUAGUGUAAAGGGGUUGGCGGGGUCUUGGGUGCCCUGGGAUGCAAGUUCAGUCUCUGGCCAGGCACAGAGGGUUAAGUACCUGGCUUUGCCACAGCUGUGACUUAGAUCACAGCUGUGGCCCCAGGGGAAAAAAAAAACCCUUCUCAAACUUCCCUGACUUUAGAAUCGCUAUUCCAUUUCACACCUGAACCAUGCCGUCUGAUACUCAUUUAUACAUUACUUUGUUCUCUGAAUGUUUCGUGUACGCAUCUCUUGUCUCUCAAUUAUAUGUUGACCCUCAUGAGUCAAGAGUGUGUGUUCUUUGUGUUUUCUGCAGAAAGAGCAGAGUAAGUACUUCGUUCAGAUGACUUGACUGGAGAUAGGGGAUGGGGGCAAGUGACUGGAUAUAGGGGAUGGUUUGCUUCUCCUGGGUGGUGAAGAUACAGACGCAGGACUACAUAGCCAAGAACUGUCUACUUCCCCCCAGCAAAUGCACGUGUACGUCACACCCACUGCCGACGGCAUCCUCAUAUUUAAUCUCCUGGUUGAAGCUGGUCUGUAUAACCCUUGUCCUAGGUUGUGUGCAGGGCAGGGACCUGAUCUAUCAAUGGUCCUUAAUCAGCACACAACCUUGGGGAUCUGAAGCCAUACUUGGAGGCAAGGUCCUAAAUUUGAACGUGGGGCAUUGCUUUUAUCCUCUUUGAGAGAAGUAUAAUCCGGUUAUGUCCAGCAUGGAAGUGAUUUUUUAAGCAACACAAGCAAUUUGCAAGACCAAAGACUUGCAAAAACUCAAAUGCACGAAGAACAAAGAGUAACCAGGGAGUUACCAAUGGAGGAACAAACUUGCUCUGGUCCUCCAGGCAGAGGUGGUUGAGACUGUCCAUCACGAGGUAUGAAACUGCCAGUUUCUGUUGGUGGAGGCUUAUAUUGCUCACUCCCACACUGCUUACCAUCCAGACAGUGCCACACCCAUCAUGAAAUCUCUGUGCCUCACCAUCUAGGCAGUUAAGAUAACACUCUGUGGACCAUGAGAGAGGCUGGAUACAUUAGCUAUGAUAGAAAGACACUGCGAAGAUAUACCAGGCUCCAGACUCCAUUUCUGUGGAGGCACACAGGCCCCUGAGCAGUCACUGGAUCACAAUGAAUUUUAGUCUCUCUUGACCAGGGCUGUGCCUGUCCCUGGGUGUCUGAGUUUGCGGGUAAUCUACCUACUACAUAGCCUGAAAGAAGCUCAGGAGAGACUGCUGAGCUGCUGCCAGCCCCCUGAGACCGUCUCGGGAGCCUGCUGGCCUGGCAGUAAGUGGCCACCCACUUGCCAAGGGAACUGGCGACAACAUGCAGUGGCUGAGAUGGAGCCAAGGGCUGAAGAGCUUCCAAAAGAGGAGAGAAUUUUCACAAUGGCGGGUUGAGUAAUCAAGGUUGAACAGAGCAACAGGCAAGUUUGAAUUUGCAUGACAGGUGCUUAC